GUAGGGAAUAUUGGACAAUGGGCGAAAGCCUGAUCCAGCCAUGCCGCGUGAUAGAUGAAGGCCCUCUGGGUUGUAAAUAUCUUUUAUCUGGGAAGAAACUCCUCUAUUCUUAGAGGCCUGACGGUACCAGAGGAAUAAGCACCGGCUAACUCCGUGCCAGCAGCCGCGGUAAUACGGCGGGUGCAAGCGUUAUCCGGAUUCACUGGGUUUAAAGGGUGCGUAGGCGGGUUGAUAAGUCAGUGGUGAAAGCUCCGGGCUUAACUUGGAAACUGCCAUUGAUACUGUCAGUCUUGAAUGUCGUAGAGGUAAGCGGAAUGGUGCAUGUAGCGGUGAAAUGCUUAGAUAUGUUACAGAACACCAAUUGCGAAGGCAGCUUACUAUGCGAUAAUUGACGCUGAGGCACGAAAGCGUGGGGAGCAAACAGGAUUAGAAACCCCGGUAGUCC
rnacentral:rRNA from 1 species